UACGGGGGGAGCAAGCGUUGUUCGGAUUUACUGGGCGUAAAGGGCGCGUAGGCGGCGUGACAAGUCACUUGUGAAAUCUCCGGGCUUAACUCGGAACGGUCAAGUGAUACUGUCGGACUAGAGUACAGAAGGGGCAACUGGAAUUCUCGGUGUAGCGGUGAAAUGCGUAGAUAUCGAGAGGAACACCUGCGGCGAAGGCGGGUUGCUGGGCUGAUACUGACGCUGGAGGCGCGAAAGCUAGGGGAGCGAACGGG
rnacentral:rRNA from 1 species